CUUUUGCAGCUGUUCCUGGAAGGAGACCCAGUUGAAAGGGGCUGUUAUGGACCAGGAACAGCUGGGAUCUUUAAUGAUCUGUCAGCAGCUUACAGCAAAGUUCCAACACCCUGAGGGCUUUGGUUUUGGUUGCAAGUAACAGAAACCCAGCGCUAAUUAAUAAACGGGAAAGUGUGUCAGUGGAAAUGCAUGUGUCAUUUCACAUCUGCAUAAAAAGACAUGCUGAAGGAUGUUCCUUGCAGAAUGGUUAUAGAGAAAAAUGGGAAUAACCACGAUAUAAAGUAACAGUCUGCUAUUUUAGGAAGUGGAUAAAAUGGCAUUU